GAUGAACGCUAGCUACAGGCUUAACACAUGCAAGUCGAGGGGAAACGGCAUUAAGUGCUUGCACUUUUUGGACGUCGACCGGCGCACGGGUGAGUAACGCGUAUCCAACCUUCCCAUGACUAAGGGAUAACCUGCCGAAAGGCAGACUAAUACCUUAUGGUCUUCACUGACGGCAUCAGAUGUGAAGUAAAGAUUUAUCGGUUAUGGAUGGGGAUGCGUCUGAUUAGCUUGUUGGCGGGGUAACGGCCCACCAAGGCAACGAUCAGUAGGGGUUCUGAGAGGAAGGUCCCCCACAUUGGAACUGAGACACGGUCCAAACUCCUACGGGAGGCAGCAGUGAGGAAUAUUGGUCAAUGGGCGAGAGCCUGAACCAGCCAAGUAGCGUGCAGGAUGACGGCCCUAUGGGUUGUAAACUGCUUUUGUAUGGGGAUAAAGUCAAUCACGUGUGAUUGUUUGCAGGUACCAUACGAAUAAGGACCGGNNAAUUCCGUGCCAGCAGCCGCGGUAAUACGGAAGGUCCGGGCGUUAUCCGGAUUUAUUGGGUUUAAAGGGAGCGUAGGCUGGAGAUUAAGUGUGUUGUGAAAUGUAGACGCUCAACGUCUGACUUGCAGCGCAUACUGGUUUCCUUGAGUACGCACAACGUUGGCGGAAUUCGUCGUGUAGCGGUGAAAUGCUUAGAUAUGACGAAGAACUCCGAUUGCGAAGGCAGCUGACGGGAGCGCAACUGACGCUGAAGCUCGAAGGUGCGGGUAUCGAACAGG
rnacentral:rRNA from 1 species